UAGGGAAUCUUCGGCAAUGGACGAAAGUCUGACCGAGCAACGCCGCGUGAGUGAAGAAGGUCUUCGGAUCGUAAAACUCUGUUGUUAGAGAAGAACAAGGACGUUAGUAACUGAACGUCCCCUGACGGUAUCUAACCAGAAAGCCACGGCUAACUACGUGCCAGCAGCCGCGGUAAUACGUAGGUGGCAAGCGUUGUCCGGAUUUAUUGGGCGUAAAGCGAGCGCAGGCGGUUUCUUAAGUCGGAUGUGAAAGCCCCCGGCUCAACCGGGGAGGGUCAUUGGAAACUGGGAGACUUGAGUGCAGAAGAGGGGAGUGGAAUUCCAUGUGUAGCGGUGAAAUGCGUAGAUAUAUGGCGGAACACCAGUGGCGAAGGCGGCUCUCUGGACUGUAACUGACGCUGAGGCUCGAAAGCGUGGGGAGCAAACAGG
rnacentral:rRNA from 1 species